GGAGUCUGGACCGUGUCUCAGUUCCAGUGUGGCUGAUCAUCCUCUUAGACCAGCUACCCAUCGUCGACUUGGUGAGCCAUUACCUCACCAACUAUCUAAUGGGACGCGAACUCAUCCUCUGGUGAAUGGCCCCGAAAGGCCCAUCCUUUUCUCCACUCGCCCGGUUGGCGCGGAAGCUUAUCCGGUAUUAGCAGUCCUUUCGGUCUGUUAUCCCGGUCCAAAGGGCAGAUUAUUCACGUGUUACUCACCCGUGCGCCGCUUUACUCAGGGCCGAAGCCCCUUUCACGCUCGACUUGCAUGUGUUAGGCCUGCCGCCAGCGUUCGUU
rnacentral:rRNA from 1 species